rnacentral:rRNA from 1 species
GACGAACGCUGGCGGCGUGCCUAAUACAUGCAAGUAGAACGCUGAAGGAGGAGCUUGCUUCUCCGGAUGAGUUGCGAACGGGUGAGUAACGCGUAGGUAACCUGCCUGGUAGCGGGGGAUAACUAUUGGAAACGAUAGCUAAUACCGCAUAAUAGUAGAUGUUGCAUGACAUUUACUUAAAAGGUGCAAUUGCAUCACUACCAGAUGGACCUGCGUUGUAUUAGCUAGUUGGUGGGGUAACGGCUCACCAAGGCGACGAUACAUAGCCGACCUGAGAGGGUGAUCGGCCACACUGGGACUGAGACACGGCCCAGACUCCUACGGGAGGCAGCAGUAGGGAAUCUUCGGCAAUGGACGGAAGUCUGAUCGAGCAACGCCGCGUGAGUGAAGAAGGUUUUCGGACCGUAAAGCUCUGUUGUAAGAGAAGAACGAGUGUGGGAGUGGAAAGUUCACACUGUGACGGUAUCUUACCAGAAAGGGACGGCUAACUACGUGCCAGCAGCCGCGGUAAUACGUAGGUCCCGAGCGUUGUCCGGAUUUAUUGGGCGUAAAGCGAGCGCAGGCGGUUAGAUAAGUCUGAAGUUAAAGGCUGUGGCUUAACCAUAGUACGCUUUGGAAACUGUUUAACUUGAGUGCAAGAGGGGAGAGUGGAAUUCCAUGUGUAGCGGUGAAAUGCGUAGAUAUAUGGAGGAACACCGGUGGCGAAAGCGGCUCUCUGGCUUGUAACUGACACUGAGGCUCGAAAGCGUGGGGAGCAAACAGG